AAAUAUAAGAACUACAACAAGAACAAAAACAAGAACAACAAGAACUACAAGAACUACAACAAGAACAAGAACAACAACAAUAACAAAAAAUAACAAUAACAACAAGAAUAAGAACAAGAACAAGAAUAAGAACAACAAUAAUAACAACAAGAACAACAAUAAGAACAACAACAAGAACAACAAGAAGAAGAACAACAACAAAAAC
rnacentral:lncRNA from 1 species